CGCUUCUGUGGCCUAGUGGCAGAGCGUCCGCCAUGGAUGCGGAAGGUCGCAAGUUCAAACCUCAGCAAAGUCA